UACGGAGGGUGCGAGCGUUGUCCGGAAUCACUGGGCGUAAAGGGCGCGUAGGCGGCCUGCUAAGUAGGGGGUGAAAUCCUGCGGCUUAACCGCAGGGCUGCCUUCUAAACUGUCAGGCUUGAGCACAGUAGAGGCAGGUGGAAUUCCCGGUGUAGCGGUGGAAUGCGUAGAGAUCGGGAAGAACAUCAGUGGCGAAGGCGGCCUGCUGGGCUGUUGCUGACGCUGAGGCGCGACAGCGUGGGGAGCAAACAGG
rnacentral:rRNA from 1 species